rnacentral:rRNA from 1 species
UAUGAACGCUGGCGGCGUGCCUAAUACAUGCAAGUCGAACGAAACUUCUUUAUCACCGAGUGCUUGCACUCACCGAUAAAGAGUUGAGUGGCGAACGGGUGAGUAACACGUGGGCAACCUGCCCAAAAGAGGGGGAUAACACUUGGAAACAGGUGCUAAUACCGCAUAACCAUAGUUACCGCAUGGUAACUAUGUAAAAGGUGGCUAUACUACCGCUUUUGGAUGGGCCCGCGGCGCAUUAGCUAGUUGGUAGGGUAAAGGCUUACCAAGGCAAUGAUGCGUAGCCGAAUUGAGAGGUUGAUCGGCCACAUUGGGACUGAGACACGGCCCAAACUCCUACGGGAGGCAGCAGUAGGGAAUCUUCCACAAUGGGCGAAAGCCUGAUGGAGCAACGCCGCGUGGGUGAAGAAGGUCUUCGGAUCGUAAAACCCUGUUGUUAGAGAAGAAAGUGCGUGAGAGUAACUGUUCACGUUUCGACGGUAUCUAACCAGAAAGCCACUGCUAACUACGUG